rnacentral:rRNA from 1 species
GGUUAAGCGACUAAGCGUACACGGUGGAUGCCCUGGCAGUCAGAGGCGAUGAAGGACGUGCUAAUCUGCGAAAAGCGUCGGUAAGGUGAUAUGAACCGUUACAGCCGGCGAUGUCCGAAUGGGGAAACCCAGUGCAAUUCGUUGCACUAUCGUUAACUGAAUACAUAGGUUAACGAGGCGAACCGGGGGAACUGAAACAUCUAAGUACCCCGAGGAAAAGAAAUCAACCGAGAUUCCCCCAGUAGCGGCGAGCGAACGGGGAGCAGCCCAGAGUCUGAAUCAGCUUGUGUGUUAGUGGAACGGUCUGGAAAGUCCGACGGUACAGGGUGAUAGUCCCGUACACCAAAAUGCACAGGCCGUGAACUCGAAGAGUAGGGCGGGACACGUGGUAUCCUGUCUGAAUAUGGGGGGACCAUCCUCCAAGGCUAAAUACUCCUGACUGACCGAUAGUGAACCAGUACCGUGAGGGAAAGGCGAAAAGAACCCCGGCGAGGGGAGUGAAAAAGAACCUGAAACCGUGUACGUACAAGCAGUGGGAGCACCUUCGGGUGUGACUGCGUACCUUUUGUAUAAUGGGUCAGCGACUUAUAUUCUGUAGCAAGGUUAACCGUAUAGGGGAGCCGCAGGGAAACCGAGUCUUAACUGGGCGUUAAGUUGCAGGGUAUAGACCCGAAACCCGGUGAUCUAGCCAUGGGCAGGUUGAAGGUUGGGUAACACUAACUGGAGGACCGAACCGACUAAUGUUGAAAAAUUAGCGGAUGACUUGUGGCUGGGGGUGAAAGGCCAAUCAAACCGGGAGAUAGCUGGUUCUCCCCGAAAGCUAUUUAGGUAGCGCCUCGUGAAUUCAUCUUCGGGGGUAGAGCACUGUUUCGGCUAGGGGGUCAUCCCGACUUACCAACCCGAUGCAAACUACGAAUACCGAAGAAUGUUAUCACGGGAGACACACGGCGGGUGCUAACGUCCGUCGUGAAGAGGGAAACAACCCAGACCGCCAGCUAAGGUCCCAAAGUCACAGUUAAGUGGGAAACGAUGUGGGAAGGCACAGACAGCCAGGAUGUUGGCUUAGAAGCAGCCAUCAUUUAAAGAAAGCGUAAUAGCUCACUGGUCGAGUCGGCCUGCGCGGAAGAUGUAACGGGGCUAAACUGUGCACCGAAGCUGCGGCAGCGACACUAUGUGUUGUUGGGUAGGGGAGCGUUCUGUAAGCCUGCGAAGGUGGCCUGUGAGGGUUGCUGGAGGUAUCAGAAGUGCGAAUGCUGACAUAAGUAACGAUAAUGCGGGUGAAAAGCCCGCACGCCGGAAGACCAAGGGUUCCUGUCCAACGUUAAUCGGGGCAGGGUGAGUCGACCCCUAAGGCGAGGCCGAAAGGCGUAGUCGAUGGGAAACAGGUUAAUAUUCCUGUACUUGGUGUUACUGCGAAGGGGGACGGAGAAGGCUAUGUUAGCCGGGCGACGGUUGUCCCGGUUUAAGCAUGUAGGCGGAGGUUCCAGGUAAAUCCGGUACCUUUUUAACGCUGAGGUGUGAUGACGAGGCACUACGGUGCUGAAGUAACAAAUGCCCUGCUUCCAGGAAAAGCCUCUAAGCAUCAGGUAACAUUAAAUCGUACCCCAAACCGACACAGGUGGUCAGGUAGAGAAUACCAAGGCGCUUGAGAGAACUCGGGUGAAGGAACUAGGCAAAAUGGUGCCGUAACUUCGGGAGAAGGCACGCUGAUAUGUAGGUGAAGCCCCUGCGGGUGGAGCUGAAAUCAGUCGAAGAUACCAGCUGGCUGCAACUGUUUAUUAAAAACACAGCACUGUGCAAACACGAAAGUGGACGUAUACGGUGUGACGCCUGCCCGGUGCCGGAAGGUUAAUUGAUGGGGUUAUCCGUAAGGAGAAGCUCUUGAUCGAAGCCCCGGUAAACGGCGGCCGUAACUAUAACGGUCCUAAGGUAGCGAAAUUCCUUGUCGGGUAAGUUCCGACCUGCACGAAUGGCGUAAUGAUGGCCAGGCUGUCUCCACCCGAGACUCAGUGAAAUUGAACUCGCUGUGAAGAUGCAGUGUACCCGCGGCAAGACGGAAAGACCCCGUGAACCUUUACUAUAGCUUGACACUGAACAUUGAGCCUUGAUGUGUAGGAUAGGUGGGAGGCUUUGAAGCGUGGACGCCAGUCUGCGUGGAGCCAACCUUGAAAUACCACCCUUUAAUGUUUGAUGUUCUAACGUUGGCCCCUUAUCGGGGUUGCGGACAGUGUCUGGUGGGUAGUUUGACUGGGGCGGUCUCCUCCCAAAGAGUAACGGAGGAGCACGAAGGUUAGCUAAUCCUGGUCGGACAUCAGGAGGUUAGUGCAAUGGCAUAAGCUAGCUUGACUGCGAGCGUGACGGCGCGAGCAGGUGCGAAAGCAGGUCAUAGUGAUCCGGUGGUUCUGAAUGGAAGGGCCAUCGCUCAACGGAUAAAAGGUACUCCGGGGAUAACAGGCUGAUACCGCCCAAGAGUUCAUAUCGACGGCGGUGUUUGGCACCUCGAUGUCGGCUCAUCACAUCCUGGGGCUGAAGUAGGUCCCAAGGGUAUGGCUGUUCGCCAUUUAAAGUGGUACGCGAGCUGGGUUUAGAACGUCGUGAGACAGUUCGGUCCCUAUCUGCCGUGGGCGCUGGAGAAUUGAGGGGGCUGCUCCUAGUACGAGAGGACCGGAGUGGACGCAUCACUGGUGUUCGGGUUGUCAUGCCAAUGGCAUUGCCCGGUAGCUAAAUGCGGAAGAGAUAAGUGCUGAAAGCAUCUAAGCACGAAACUUGCCCCGAGAUGAGUUCUCCCUGAGACUUUAAGUCUCCUGAAGGAACGUUAAAGACGAUGACGUUGAUAGGUCGGGUGUGUAAGCGUAGCGAUACGUUGAGCUAACCGAUACUAAUGAACCGUGAGGCUUAACCUU